rnacentral:rRNA from 1 species
AGGAUGAACGCUGGCGGCGUGCCUAACACAUGCAAGUCGAACGUCCUGUCUCGCAAGAGGCAGGGAGUGGCGGACGGGUGAGUACCACGUGGGUCAUCUACCGUGAGGUGAGGAAUACCGGCGAGAAAUCGCCGACAAGACCGCAUAGGCUCGAUGCAAGUCGAGCAAAGCUCUUUCGAGAUAGGGAGCGCCACACGAGGAGCCUGCGCCCGAUUAGCUAGCUGGUGGAGUAACGGUUCACCAGGGCGACGAUCGGUAGCUGGUCUGAGAGGACGAUCAGCCACACUGGGAUUGAGAACGGCCCAGACUCCUACGGGGGCAGCAGUGAGGAAUUUUCGUCAAUGGGGGCAACCCUGAACGAGCAACGCCGCGUGCAGGAAGAAGGUUUCGGAUCGUAAACUGCUUUUCUCGGGGAAGAGAACGGACGGUACCCGAGGAAUCAGCCCCGGCUAACUACGUGCCAGCAGCCGCGGU